GGGGUUGAGGGCAUUAAGAUUAUGGUAACCCUUCCUCCUCAUCCCCUGCUACAAGAAUGUAUCCUUUUAUUUGUGAAGGUCUUUAUCUUGCCGUUUUCCUGCAAGCUCACAGUAGUGUUUGU